ACUGAGAAGAUCGAGGUUUUUAAAUAUGUGAGAUUCCAUCACAAUAUCAUACAAUCCAAAACAAACAGGAAAGUGAGAUUUGAUAAAUAUUUGAACAUGUUUUCCUUCCAAAUUAAGUUUGGCUGUAUUCUGAGAGAGAAUAUUUAUAAAAGAUGCCAAAGUAAUCAAAGAAAGAGUGAGAGAAAGAUGAACCCUAAUCACGCCUCCUUAACAAUUUCUUAAUCUUUGCCUCUCUCAUUCUGUAUCACUGGUGCCAACUGUAAGGGUUAGGUUUUAUAUUCAAAUGCUGAUUUCACAUUCUUUCUAUCAUGCAUAUACAUCUUUUGGAUGUAUCUAUAUGUUAUAUAUAUAUAUAUAUAUGCUAUAUGUGAUGAAAAAAUGUAAAAGAGAGAGAGAGAGAGUGUAUGUAUAUUAGGUGAGUGAGUUAUAAAAAAAUGAAGGGUUAGGUUUUACAUAUAUGGUGAGAGUUUCCUUAGCUUUUGCUCUCUCUCUCUCUCUUUCUCACUGUUUGCUUUAGCUUACGUUUUGUUCCAUUUUCUUCUCUCUUUCUCUUGCUCUUUCUCGAACGAGUUUGAGAUGAGAACAAUGGUUUUUUCAGAUCAAAAUUUUACGUGGCUAUGCCUAUAUAGAUCUUUGUUCCUUUAUCUUUUUCUCAGAUGUGGCUGGUGAUGGGAGAUUGGGGUUGAUGGGAAUGUUGUUUGGCUCGAGGAAUCUGCAUGAGGGUGAGGUGGUUUUGCCUUUGUUCAUCUUUCGAAGCUUGUAAUUUCUGGGUUUCAAUCUUUGAAACUUUGAAAGGAAGAAAAGCUUUAAAGAUUGGAUUUUGAGGCUACCCAUCGUGUGAUCUCGGACCAGGCUUCAUUCCCGUUAACCUGAUCUCUCUCUUUCUCAUGGCGGUUUCAGGCUGAAGCAAAACUCUCUGACGUUGUCUGCCCAAUGAUGAGAAACUCUACAGUUUGUGUUUCUGAAUUCAGACAUUGCAUGAGACAAAACUUUUAAACAUUUGUCAAAAACUAAGAUUAAAAGGAUGUCUUUUGACCUAGUACUUGGUGCUUUUACUUGCCAUAUAUAUUUCUUGUGGUUCCAUAUAUAUCUUCUUUUUCUUCAGCAUCUCUCUUGUGAUUUAAUUUAACAAAUUUGAGAUUUGUGUGCCAUUGAUUGCAUCUAACUAAAAGGGAUCAGACUUCAAAUCUUUGUAAUUUAUUUUUCUAUAAUGAUUUGUGAGUGAUUGAUAUCAGUUUUUUUAAGUUAAAUAAUAUGUUUUGAGAAACCCAAGGAGCUUUGAAAUUCUGUAUUCUGUCAGUAUAUAGGUUUUCCCAGCUAUAGCAUCUUAGGGUUUGAGAUUCCCAACCAUCUUUUGUAGUUGUCAAUGAGUUUCAUUUCAUGGAAGUAGUUGGCUGUACUUUUUUAGGUAAAUAGAGAUUAAGCUGUAGAUAGAAGAUAUGCAUGAAGUGGAGAUAAAUGGAUCUGAAACAAAAUUUGUGUGAAAUACAUUUUCCUUUCACCUUUCUCCUCAAUUUUAGUGUUUUGCUUCUUUCAAUGUAUAAAAGGUGGAAGAAGGAUAUAAUUUCUAAUAUGACUUUACAGUCUUUGCAGUUGCUGUCACACAUGGUAACAUUUAUCUGCACGGUUGUCAAGGUUUCUGCAAUUUAGAAUCCUUGAUUCUCAUUUUCUGAUUAAACAUGUUAUAGUUUUUUUUGUU